AUUGAACGCUGGCGGCAGGCCUAACACAUGCAAGUCGAGCGGAUGAAGGGAGCUUGCUCCUGGAUUCAGCGGCGGACGGGUGAGUAAUGCCUAGGAAUCUGCCUGGUAGUGGGGGAUAACGUCCGGAAACGGGCGCUAAUACCGCAUACGUCCUGAGGGAGAAAGUGGGGGAUCUUCGGACCUCACGCUAUCAGAUGAGCCUAGGUCGGAUUAGCUAGUUGGUGGGGUAAAGGCCUACCAAGGCGACGAUCCGUAACUGGUCUGAGAGGAUGAUCAGUCACACUGGAACUUAGACACGGUCCAGACUCCUACGGGAGGCAGCAGUGGGGAUUAUUGGACAAUGGGCGAAAGCCUGAUCCAGCCAUGCCGCGUGUGUGAAGAAGGUCUUCGGAUUGUAAAGCACUUUAAGUUGGGAGGAAGGGCAGUAAGUUAAUACCUUGCUGUUUUGACGUUACCAACAGAAUAAGCACCGGCUAACUUCGUG
rnacentral:rRNA from 1 species